CGCCGCGCUGCCGCGCCUGGCCGCGCUGGCCGCGCGCGCGCUCUCGCAGCUGCACACCGACAACCCCAUGCAUCUAAAAGCUAUAGAGCAAGCGAGAGCCGUGAUAGCGGAAGCGAGAGCGGUUGAAUGACAUUUGAGUUGUGAAGGCGCGUCGACUUCACACACGCAAGCAGCCAGCGCUGAGUACACGACGACACACACAGCAGGAGACACAACCAUUAUCAUAUUAGAGUGAAGGCAUUUGUUAUACUGCGAUAGUUUACACAAAUUAAGAACCACGCAAAAAACAUUAAACAUUUUUUGCUAUAAUCUUAGAAGGUCUAUAAUAAUGACACACAUUGAUGACGUUCGGUGGAAUAGCCAAACUGUUAUAGGUCAAUUCUUGCAUAUGAAAACAAAUGAAAGAAUAUCAAAUAUUUUGAUACUUAACGAGGAGUUGUGAUGUUAGGAUAGUGACGAAAAUGUUUAUUAAAUGAAAAAUAUUUAAGGUUCUCAAAACAAGCUUACAAUGUUCUCUUUCACAAAACAGAAAUGUCUUCUAUGUAGAUUGUAGUCUCUUCAUUAGAUUGUCAAAUUGUGUCCACAUUUCUUAGUAUAUAAAAUGUGUAAAAAAGCUUCGAAGCUUUUGUUGCUGUGUUAGGUUUAAGCGAUUGGUCUUACCAACGAUAUAAUAGAUGGCGCCUUUGUGUGAGAACCACUUCUGAAUUCAGGAUUAAGACGAUGCCAGAAAUAUCGUGCGAGUUUCAAUAAUUUGCAGAUCUGUGGAGCUCUACUAUCAAUUACAGAUCAUUAUUUGAACCAAAAUUUUAUUUCUAGCUAAUAAAAACUAUAAUAUUGACUAUAAAUUGGAAAAUUCAUAAACGAUAUUUUAAAAAAUGCGAUAUUUAAAAAGCUUUGCUUUUUCGCGUGGACCGAUCUUAUUGUCAAUUUAGAAUUAACCGAAAAAAAAUCAUCUUUGAAAUUUAUUGCAACAUGCAUGUUGCUGGCACCGCGACCGUCUAAAUCACCUUUUUAAUAGCUGACAUACAAGUGUUCUAGUGUAAAAUUAUACAUGUGGUAUACAAAACGAAUUAGAGGCGGUGGUGUGGCCACUAAAGGCGCGGUUUACAUUUAAAUAUAGUUAAACGUAAUUUACAAGUUGUGAUGGCUGGUGCAGCACGAUCAUUGUGAAUGAUGCGAGUAUUUAAUGUAAAUAAUACGAAGGGGUCAGAACAAGAGUGAGAAAUAAAUGGUAUGAACUUUA